GGAUUGUAGCUCAGUGGUACAGUGCUUGCCUGGCAUGUGUGAGGCACUGGGUUCAAUUCUUAGCACCA
rnacentral:tRNA from 1 species